AUUAGUUAGAUAUGAGCUCAAAUGGGUGGAUGUCAGGAUGACCCAUUUCGGGAUAAUGGAAACCCUAAUGGGCCAUCACCCUAUAUAAGGCUAUGGUCCCCAAUACACCGUACGAAAGCAAACAUUCUCUUCUCCCCAUCUGAAGAGUAUCAAGGCAUCAGGGUACCGGUUGAGGAAGAGCCAAUCUAGCCGCCAUUUCUUUGUGUUUCAGGAUCACUGCUGAAAAGACUCAUCUCCAUGGAUCCAGGUAUUCCUAAAGAUCAACUUGUCGAUCCUAUGAUUUUUAUACAUGCUUCCAUGACUAUUUUGUUUCCGCACUAAAGUAUAUGUCAUAUAAUAUGUU
rnacentral:lncRNA from 1 species